UUUUUUAUUUUUUUUUAUUUUUAUUUUUAUUUUUAUUUUUAUUUUUUUUUGGAAUAAUGUUUUUUUUUUUUAUUAUACUUUAAGUUUUAGGGUACAUGUGCACAUUGUGCAGGUUAGUUACAUAUGUAUACAUGUGCCAUGCUGGUGCGCUGCACCCACUAACGUGUCAUCUAGCAUUAGGUAUAUCUCCCAAUGCUAUGUGCCCUCUUACUAGUGAUAUUUUACACAUUAAAUGUUUUGAAUUCAAAAUUUCCAUGGAAACAAGGUAAAUUUCAAAUUUACAAUCUCUGUGGCGUGAUUAUAAUUUUAGGUUCCUAGUGAAACUGAGAAUGUUUAAGGUUCAAUUCCCACAUGUCUGUUAAUUUCACCCCACGGAUACAGGCUGACUUAACUCUGACCAACCACCCUGAACGUGCACUUCCUUCUCACGUGGAAAUGAGGUGGCAUAGCAAAGUCAAGAUGUGGAGCCCUGGUGAAUCAGCCUAGGACAGGCAGCUAUGGAGGACACAUUUGGAUUCAGAUGGAGGAAUCACCACCGAGGAAAGGAUUAUGAAGAGCAACCCCGAUCUGGAAGAUAUUCUGUUUACCUCUCAAAAUCAUGCAGGGAUUAAAACCCGACCUACAAGGCAGAAAAAAAUACAAGAGUUCAGAGGAAAGCAACACUUCAUUACAUUCAUGAGAUGCAUAAAUGACUGUAAAAGCAGCAGACUCAGAAAUCAAAAUAGGAAAAAAUCAGAUUCUACCAGCUGAGCCAUUCACAGUGCAGGCAGAAGGCCUUUUGAACUUCAGCUCUUACAGCAGAGAAUCAGAAAAUGUGACCAGGAGCACACCAGCUCUGGAAACAAGUGAAUAAUGGAGAUCAGAGAUGCAGAAAAUACAUAUAUAAUUUCAUAUGAUAUGAAAUUUUUAUGGUAUAAUCACUUCAUUGUAUUUCAUGCCCAAAGAAACGAAUUUUAUUUCCCCGAUGGCCAAACAGCUCCUAAUUACAGUUGUAAACUGGUUAAACGGGCUUAAAGAAGAAGCGGCUUUGGGUGAGGACUUAACAACACUGUCCAAUCCGCACUUUGCUGAAGGUGUUCCCCACUUCCCCGGUGAAUAUGGAAUUUGGAAUUAGUACCAGAAUCACCCACUAGGGAUUCACUCAUACAUUUUAUUUUUAAUUUGCAGCAUAUAUUUGUUUACAUAAACUCCCAGUACACUGCAUGCGGUUUAGAACACACUGUGAGUUCAUUGCUUAUUAUUCUUUAAAACAGCCUGUGGUAAGAGAGACCCUUCCAUUAAGAAGAGAUACUUGUCUUGAGAGGUCCACCACACAACGGGAUCCCAGGGAUGGUCUCAGCUUGAUGGAUCUAGGAGGCAUACCCCUUCUAAAUGGUGCCUAGCCAGAGCUCUUCCUGCCUGGGGCAGCCAGGCCUCUCAACCCUACUCUGGAAAAGCAACUAGAAGCUCAGGUCCUGCUGAUGAUGGACUAGGAAUGCCAUUUUUGCAUCUUUGUCAUGCACCAAGACAGGGCUCAUUCAUCACCUUCCCAUUAUGCACAGACCUGAAGAGGAACUGAAAAAGAAGGAUUCAGUGAUUCAGAAAAUGUUCGUUCCUAAAUGAAGAAUACAAUGAAGUCUGGACUUCACAGCCCUCACUACUAUGCAAUGUUCCUUCCUGCUGGAAAGCAGUUAUGUUAUUGCAGCAAAGCUGGUCAAGACAGCCAACCACCUGUAAAUACAACCUACUGGUUGCCCUGAAACAAUCUGUCACUUUCUACAGUACUUGGGGGAAACAACACCUAAUAAACAACACCUAGUAAAGCAAAAGAACAUAUACUACAGUCAAAGGAAAAAUCUCAUGUAGAACUGUGGUAAUGACAGUGCUUAUAAAAUUAGAAGCACUCAUUUACUAGGGUAUACAGAGCCCCAGAUGAUGGUGUGAUUAUAUGUUUACUAAGCUUUAUCCAGAGGACUACUGCAUAGAAGUCAAUCUUCUUGACUUUGAGCCCGUGGAAGAUCCAUCUGUUUCUACUCCUGCUCACUUCCCAGACACGCCGCAACUGGGCACAAAUCACGGAAGAGAAAUGUUUAUCCAAGUGGAGCUGGAAAAGCCAGGACUCCAGGAGGGCCCUGGGGUGCAGGGAGGACCCCUUCUUUCAAAGGUUUCUGCUGCACAGGCCUAGGGUAGGAUGGAAAGGAUCACAGAGUAGGGGAUAGAAACAAUUUUUUUUUAAAGAAAGAGAAGAAAAUCUUCUGAUUAUCUAGACAGAACAGGAGAAAGGGGAGCUGCGGCAACAGGGAAAUGAAAAUAAGCAGUAACAGGCCUUGUGACAGUUGAUUGUAGGAAUGUCCCUGCCAGCGGGUAACUUGUGUCCUGACAAGCUGCGAGAGCCUGAGGCAAAGGAUCUGUGCUUUGCUCACUGGGACCUAGAGAGGACACAAACUCUUUCUGUUCCUAAUAAAGAACAGGUUCAAGAGAGUGAGGGGAAACAAACUGCGGUAUGAAACUAACAUCUGCACAGCAGUCAUCGGCACAGCAGUAACAUUACUUGGAUAUCCAGGGCAGAAUCGAUCAAGUACGUGAGUUCUGAUGCAGGCACUGUGGUGAUUCCUGCAAAGGUUUUAUAUCUGCACACUUGGUCUGCAGAGUGGAGCUGGACUUCUGCUCUCAUUCUUCCCUCAGGUGCCUUUGUGCAGUACCAACACUGUGAACCAGACACUACGACCCCACCCGCCUAUCCCACCUCCCCCCAUUCAGGGACACUACGUUUAGACAGUGAAAGCCUUCUUUGGUAAAUGCAUUCCACAGUUCUCCUCCAGUCUCAAUUCCCCUCUCGAAACACAAAAUAGGUAAUAGAUUGAAAAGACCAAACUGGUUCCAUUAAUUUUUAUUGUAUUGUCUCAUUUCUAUUAAAUCAAGCACCAGAGUCCUGAAGUCACUGAGACAAAGCUGGGAGCAGGCAAUCCAAACCCUUGAAGUUGGUGCAGAAGUAGGGGCAAAAUAAUUUCCCAUAUCAUUUUGGAGGGUAUAACUGAAAGAGUGUUUUUUGUUUGUUUGUUUUUUGAGACAGGGUCUUGCUCUGUCACCCAGGCUAGAGUGCAGUGGCGUGAUCUUGGCUCACUGCAGCCUCAAACUCCUGGGCUCAAGCAAUUCUCCCACCGUAGCCUCCUCAGUAGCUGGGACUACAUGUGUGCACCACCAGGCCCAGCUAAUUUUUGUAUUUUUUGUAGAAAUGGGGUUUCACCAUAUUGCCCCGGCUGGUCUCAAACUCCUGAGCUCAAGCGAUCCACCUGCCUCGGCCUCCCAAAGUGCUGGGAUUACAACAUGAGCCACCAUGCCCGCCCAAAAGAGUGUUGUUUAACUGACACAGGAUAAUAUGAUUCACACAAAAUAGAACAUUUAGUAAUUCAAGGGUGUACCUAGAACAUUCUGCCAAGGGGACAUUUAACGCUGUGACACAGGAAGUGUCAUGAUGACUCAGGAAGAGGGGAUCCACAUGUAGUCCCAUAUUCCAGCAGAAGAGUGCUUCUGGACAAAUGUGUUAAACCUUCCCCCCAUCUUCAAAGGAAACAGAGACUACAGCUCUGUGGCAAAAGGCAAUGAAUCCCUCUGAGGGAUGUGUGUAUUCUAGUUAGAGAGUAACACAGACUACAGCUGCCUGUGACCAGGACAAAACUCUGAUGGUAGCCAUGGUGAACUGGAACACAAGCUCAUCUGUGAUAAGAGCCUCUUAGUUUUCCUCUUAUUCAAUUUCCAUCUUGAUGAAAAAUGGGAAAUUUGUAUGCAAUUGAGGAACAAAUACACAGAUUUCUGUGUCAUAAUCUUAUUGCUGAUUUUGUAUUUUGUCUACUUAUCCAAUGUAAGCUCAUCCUAUUUGAUCACGUCUCUGACAGUCAUACGGUUAUCCUUUUUUCCUCCACAGUGACCGCUGGAAAGGGAACACCUUGCAACUUCUCCCACGAGGCUUUCGAUCCUAAUGUAAGGAGCAGACCUCUCCCGUCAGAAGUACAUGGUGGGGAAAAAGGGCCAUGUGGACACAUGGAAACGGAUUCGGGCAGGACCAGAACUAUUUCCUUAGCCACACAGAUGAAGGGUUUGUACUAAUUCCUCAGUGAGGAGGAACUGGAACCUGAUAUCAAAAUCCACUGUAUGUCCUUUAUAGUUUAUUGUAUAUAAUUAUGUACCAUAAACUGUGCAUGGCUUACAUUCCAGGGCAUGGGAUCAGUCAUUCCUAACAAAUCUCGUUGUCAAUUUCUGUAAGUCCCAGCUAAGAAUCCCCGUAAGGGCUUAUCUGAACCGGGUAGAAUCAAAUAUUGUGAUAGAACCCCAGGGCCUGGGAGAAGCAGCAGCCCCCCACCUCCCCCCAAGAAUUCUGUCUGGUAUGCUUCGUGGUACAUCUGCAGGUGAGCAUUGACUCACAGAUAUACUUGGUGCACACCCUGUGUCCAGUACCGAAUGAUGCCAAUAUGAGCCAAUGGGACUUGAGGAACAUGUAAUUCUAUUCACUGUACUCUGCUGUGAAGACGCUACAACCUCCCUGUUAAGUCAUGCUCUUUGCUCAUUUCUGAGCUUGGGCCUCCUCUUGCAUGCAGGCCCUGUUCCACAAAUGACUCCAGGGGAUAAGGGGCUUCCAAACACCUAAGUCCUAGGGUGUUGCUUUAAGCCACUUGGCUCUUGUGCAUGUCUGUAAACCAUUGCUAGAAUUGGAGGUAUUUCAAAGGCAGCGAGCGGCAUAUGAGAAUAAAUGAUCUAAUACAGAGAGUGAAUUCCUGAUGAUUUAAAGCCAUUGAGAAAAGCGGCAAACAGAGCUUGGGAGACAGUACACCUCGAUGUCCUCAAAAACACAUCCCUUAAUUUCUAAGAGACCAUAAUUUAUCUUUCUAUACUGAUAACACCAUAUUUGUCAAAUACAGAUAUUAUGGACUUUUAAUAUUAGGGAAUUAAAAGAUCCUUUUAAACUCUGUUUUGAAAUACAUACAUUUUUUCACGUUUGCACAUACAGUAACACACCAGCCAGUGUUGAAAGUAUGACCUGCAAUUGCAAUCAAGCCAUUCAAGCCAUUCAAAGAACAAGCCACAUGGAAACUAUGACCUCGCCCCUGAAAAUCACCCACAGGCAUAUGUUUGGGCAUGAUUUCAGGAGAUCCAUGGGCUCUAGAAACCACCUGUAGGCCUGAGGCUCGGAACUUGUGAUACCUGGCCUCCCAUAGGAAGUAUGAGGAUAUCCUAAUUUUUCCCACCAGAAUUUGUAUAGACUAGCAAGUUUUGGGGCGGCUUGUUAUACUAAUAGGCUUCAUAGUCUCCACUGAGGGGGCAAUUCUGUUUAUAAACAUUUCCCUCACCCUUCUUCCCCAUUCAUUCUUGUGGUUUCCUGGCCCAAGCAAUACUUAUCUGUGAGCCACUGGCCCCAAUAACUAACUCAAGACAGCAACACGUUAUGCAUGGUGAGUUCAGACCGCAGCUGUCUAUGUAGCCAGUUAAGUAGCAUCAUCAAGACGAUCCAGUGCAGAGCAGUGGCAAAGGACAGAACCACCCAAAAGGAGGGAGGAGGCUGGACACAGAUACAUGGGAAGUUGGGGAAAGUUCAUCUGUUGUUAAAAUCAACAAGUACAAUGUCGACAGUGGAGGCCCAGAUGUCCCAUUAAGAAGUGUCCUACUUAGUCUGGAAAAGUUGGCAACUGUUCUCAUGGGAACCAGCAGCAGGAGCAGCAGCUGCAGUGCACAAAUAGAAGUGUCCUUCCUCACACCUAGUUUCAUCUGGGUCAAGUCCCUCCUCUGCUCAAGCUCUUCUGGGAGCUUCUCCUCUCCUGAGAGAAAGAGCUGAGGUUCAUGAGGCCCUACACUGUCUGCCUCCAAAGCUGCCUGCCUUGCUGUUUCGACUCCAGCCAUGCUGGCCUCCUCACCAGGCCUCGAACACACCAGGCCUGCCACCACAAGGCCUUUGCAUGGGCCGUUUCCUCUGCCUAGGACACUCUCCUGUGGGUACCCUCAUGGCUUUCUCCCUUUUUUCGGGUUUUUACUUAAAAACAUCAUCUUCUCAGAGAGGCCUUCCCUGACCAUUCUUUUGAAAAAUGCAAUCCUCCUCCCCCAUGCCUCCAUCUCCCUUUCUUGUUUAUUUUAUGUAUUUAUUUAGCUAUGGAGUCUCAUUAUGUUGCCCAGGCUGGAGUGCAGUGGCUAUUCCUAGGUGCACUCAUAGCUCACUGCAGCCUCAAACUCCUGGGCUCAAGCGAGCCUCCCACCUCAGCCUCCUGAGUAGGUAGGACCACAGGCGUGCACGACCACACUUAGCUCUGUUUAUUUUUCUUCAUAGCACUUAUCACCAUUUCAUUUACUUAUGUAUUUUACUUAUCUGUUGGCCUCCCUAACAAGAAUGUGAGUUCCAUGCAGGCAGAGAUCUUUGUUGGUUGAACUGCCCAUUGUCUCCCCAGAGGCUAGAAGAUGGUUAGAACAGUAUCUGCCUCAUAAAGUCGUUGAGGAGAUUAAAUGAAUUAAUGCCUGUAAAACACCUGAACGGCACAGGGUCUAUACUAAGAACUACAGCAAUAUAUGUUAUAAUUUUGAUUUUGUUUUAAAUUUUAUGAUGAAGGCAAUUGGGUAGUUAUUACCAUAUCCAUCUUACAGAUUCCAAGAUGGAGGCUCAGAGUAAUUUACCUGAAGUUCCACAUUAGUGACUGGCAGAGAGAGGAUUCAAACCCAGAUCGACUCCAUUCCGUGCACUAAUUUCCCCUUGCUCUGCUUUGGAAGUCCUGGGAUAGAAGAGAGGCAGAAAUCCAUUCUUUCUGGAACAACCUCAAAACCUGAGAAGGCUGGUCCACCCCAGGGGGUGGGAAGUGGGGAAUAAUGGCUCCAGAAUCCAGGGACCGUUUCCUUACAGACCUUUACACUGCAUGGAUCUAACAUGGCGUGUGGCAUUCUGUUUACUUCCUAACUUCACCAAAAAAUGUAAUACAGUCUGCCAAUUAAACAAUGUUUUCAUGACCCCAGAAAAUCCAUGGAUUGGAGACAUUUACUUUAAACAGCCAUUCCACCAUAACAGGAAAAGAGGUAGAGCAGAGGAGUUUAUUAUAACAGCUGCUUUCAUACCUCAAACAAGGUUUGGCUGUUUUUGGCACGUUGCACUGUAGUAGAGUUGGCAAGAAGCGGACAGACUGCAUGAGUUUCCUUUCAAAAGAUCAUUUUGCUUCCUUAAAAAACCCAUGACUGGACUAUCUAGUGUGAACUGCAGAUGUUUGUUCUUCCUUUGCUUCUCUGUCCUUGGGGAGCUCCCACCCUGCUUAGGCCUAAAUGGGGACACGAGUUUCUAGAGCAGAAAGAGCUUUGGAAUGGCAAAGACCUUGAUGAGAAUCCUACAUUUCUUUUAUUAGCUGCUUAACCCAAGACUCUCGUCUUUCUCUGCAGGGUUAUUCUAAGGAUUAGAGUAAGGCAAAUAGAGACCCUAGCACAGUGUCAGGCACGGUAACAGGCACCUAUGAUUAUCAUGAAAUUAGAUGGCUAGAGGCUUGAGUGUGAGUCCUCAGAGCUCUCCUGAGAUACUGCAUUUUACAAAAUGCAUGCAGCAGAGAAUGUAAAGUACGAGCUCUUGCCUGAAGCGUUUUUUAUAAAGGGACUUUUCUGCACCCCUUCCCUUCCAACCUACAAAGUUGGUAAGAAAUAGAAGAAGGAUAGAUGUCAGGGUUCCCCUGCACGUGUCAUUGCUCUUGGGGUCCAAAAGGGGAGGAAAGGGAAGAGGGGACGGAGGACCUGGUGGUGCCCUGGAGGGCAGAGCUUCAGUGGGUUUUAAACUGGAAAUCCUACAGGAAGUGAAGGCUCUUGGCUCCUGGGACCUGGGCUGCCCUGUGCUGUGACUCCUGUAAAACCCAGUGCUCAGCAAGCGGCUGAAACCAUUUCAAUGCAAAUGGCUUCCAGAUGGCAGAAGAGAAACCAGCAGCAUGAUGCUCCCGGCACGUGUGAGCCCGAGGGGUCUGAUGCCCAUUGGUCAGGCUGCCGCCUGAAACUCAUAAAGAACCCGUAGGAAUUAGGACUGGAACCCCCAGCAAGCUUGCAUUCCCUGGCUAGAUCUAACAGUGUGCGCUGGGAUAUGCCAGUUACAGGCGUAUCCCCUGCAAUCUGCGGUGUCUUGGGCAGCACAGAAGCCACCUUUCUCGCCCCUUCCAGCAAUGCUUAUUCUUCGGCCUCCAAGUAUGAGACCCACAGACAACACAGGCCUUGUUGCUCAAAGGAAAGGAGCCUCCCAAAACAUUUGGGAGAAGUGCGCUGGGCUGGGUUGUUGGACCCUGCUGCACUGGAGGGAAUCCUUGGCCAUUGCUGGCAGCUUUGAAGACCUAUUUUUUAUUUCCAAAGCUUUUAAUCCUUUGUCUAUUCAGAGCCUGAGCUUGGAGCACUUGCCAUCCAAAGAGACAAAAGCUGAUGAGCGGCCCAAGAAAGACAGGGCCUGGAUCAGAAGGACACCACCAGCUGGGUGCUUAGGAAGCACUCACUCCUGGGCUGGAACCUGGUGAGGAGUGGGGCUGGGGGAAAUAGGGUGGCGGGGCGGGUUGGGGCUUUAACUCCUUCCCCACUGAGAAAGCUGUGGUUUCAUCUGGACAUUGAAACAACCCACAUCCCAAAUACCAACUCAACCAAAAAGAGAAUAUAGAAUUGUGCACAUCUUCAGCCCUAACCCACUAUCCACGGGUGAUAAUCCAAAAAUUUAACAAACGCUCUGGCACUGAUCAAUGAGAAAGGAUACCCCCUGCUGCUGCCCAGUUGAGACUCAGUCCUGCCUGUGCCCCAACAGAGACAUUUAAAAAAAUACCACUGCAGUUACUUGUGGGUGGAAUCUCCCGGGCAGCCAACACAUUUCCCAGUGUUGGCAGAAGUUUUCAACUGCCUGGCGCUCUUCCUGGAGGGCACCCUGCACAGCGCUGGCCAGGCUGCACAGAGCUGAGGGCACAUCAGAAGAAGUUGUGAAUUAAACACAAAAACCGUCAUAAAUAAAAGUAGACAGAAGGAUGGCUAUUUUAAGUUGCUCCACUGUUUAGGGAAAAUAGCUGCAAGGAACAGCGGCCAGGACAUGGAGACUAUUCUUCCAUUCUUUUGUGUUUCGGUGAACUGAAACGUCCGAUGCAAUUGGCACGGGUUUUUCAGCCAACACAGAGGCCCACAGGGUGUGGCCACUGAGGGAGAAAGAAUGAAGCAAACAGCACCCAAUUCUCGACCUCCAGGGCCUUAUCAGGAGGACUUUGCAAUCCAUUUCUUGGCAAUUGCUAGUAAAAGUUGUAGGUAGAUAUCUAGCUCCUUACCCAUAGCCUAUUGUGCUCUCCGUGAGGUCUCCAUCAGUGCCAAAGGGUCUACUAGGAGAACCAUGUUUUAUCUUGUCCUUUCAAGACCCUUCUUCUCUACAUGGUGUACUUCUUCCCAAUUUAUUUCCCCUUUUCCUUUCUAUUCCUAGAUUGUUCUCCCCUCCAUUCUUACAUCUCCUUCCUUCUUUUCCCCAAGUACCUGCUUUGCUCUGCCAUCCCCCUCAUUCUCAGCAGUUCUUUUUCUUCCCAGUUCUUUCUUUCCACCAGUGCCCUCAAGAACUUCACACCCAAACUGCCAGCCAUAAUCCUGAAUGGCCUUGGGUGAGGAUUGAGCCACGCCGGUGGAAAUGCACAGGGUGGUUUCUGGCAACCAUGCCCUCCCCAACGCAGGGUGCACUCUGGUCGACUAAGGCUGGAGGGAUGGUGCAAUCUUUUUAUCUCCUUUUAUUAGGAAAAGAAGGUUUUGUUUUUGUUUUUUUUUUUCUUUGAGACAGGGUCUUGCUCUGUCACCUAGGCUGGAGUACGGAGGAGUGAUCACAGCUCACUGAAGCCUUGACCUCCUAGGCUCAAGUGGUCCUCCCACCUCAGCCUCCCAAGUAGCUGGGACCACAGGCACAUGCCACCAUAUCCAGCUAAUUUAUUUUUUUAUUUUUUGUACAGAUGGGGUCUCACUAUAUUACCCAGGCUGGUCUCAAACUCCUAGACUCAAGCAAUCCUCCCAUCUCGGUCUCCCAAAAUGCCGGGAUUACAAAUGUGACCCACUGCACCCAGCCGGGAGAAAAAGUUCUAACAAGCAGAAAGGUCUGUUUACUCCAAAGCAGGUCCAUGCAACUAAAAGUUUUGGAAAAGUGAAGAAAAUAGAGGAGAAUGACAAAGGGAAAAAGGAAGAAGUAAAAGGAACAAAGAGUAGAGAGAAAGACCUAACUUCAGUGUGAUCACAAUUUAUUCCAGUCAAAGCCCAAAAUAUAAAAACUGUUUCUAUUGUUCCACUAAGUAGUGGCCUCUCGGUGCUUCUGACAAGUGAUUUAGAGUAAAGUGGUCUGCUCCCACAGGGGCUUGCAAAUCUUCAUGCAUGAUGGUUCGGUCGAGAAAGCCGAAGUUGCCCAGUCAGGAAGGUGGUGAUGCAAAGGUCAGAUGAAUAAGGGAGGAGUUCAUUCAUCAACCCGACAUGUGAGCAUGGCUGGGACAGUGCGCAGGACGAAAGCCAUCUGGUAGCUUUGCUUGCAAGACCAGAUUAAGAAAGCACCAGCACAAAAACCACAAAGGAGAAGAUGAAGCUGUAUUUCCGGAGGAAAGCAAAGAUUUCUACCCAAAGCUGAGGUAAGAGCUUUAUUUUUUUUUUCCAAUGAUGAAGAAAGAAUCCUACUUCCCUCUGAUUUGCAUUAUUUUUAGCACAUAUGCCUCAGCAUUGGUGCCCAAUAGGUCCGGCAGUGUCUUUUCAACAGCCUGAAAUUUUUCAGUAGUUUCCCUUUGCCUAGAGUAUAAAACAAAAUUCAUAGCAUGGCAUAUGAGGCCUUCAUGAUGGAACCACUAGCUUACUCUUUACCGUCAUCUUUCCGCAUUCCUCAGUGCAGCUUCAGAGUACUGGCAGCUUGCAGAGCACAUUAUGCUGGCUCUUCCCUCCCUUGUGUAAUAUGCUUUUCCCUCUGACUGGUACACUUUCCCCUACCUCCUUGCCUGGCUAAAUUGUACUCUUCCUCUAUAACCCAUCUCAAAACUCACACUCCUCUGUGAAGUGUGAGUUCUCAGGGGUUCCCUCUUCUAAACACCUACUGCACUUGAAUGCCAUCCCAUCAUGCUAAUCAUCAGUCAUUGUAAUAGGGACAAGAAUGGUAUCUUUUCAUCAACGGUGCCUAACACAGGAAGUACCCCAAAUUUGUGUCGAUGAUUAAUGCAGCAUUCAUUUGAAUUCCACAUGUACACACAUUUAAUUACACACACUCACAUACACACACUCACACACACACGCUUGCAGGAUGUCUUCUCCUGCAUCUCUAGGGGUGUGGGUUCCAGGUGGGCCCCUGCCAUGAAGUUUCUGAUCAUGCCCCAGUGAUAAUAUGGAUGUGACGGAAAGAAGUGAGCUGUACAUCAGAAAUCAAGUUUGAAAUUUGGGAAUGUCUUUACGUUCUUAGAGACCUCAUCUGCACAGGCCUCAGCUUUCAACUCAGGCAGAGUACGUAAGUUUGCAUGAGAACGUAGAGUAGACAAAAGUGAGAGACGGCAGAAAGAAAGAGGUACAGGGUCUUGUGUGGAGCCUCCCACAUGGUUCUCUUCCAGUUCCCUAGGCAACCGGCCCCUGAUGAGUGGUUCUAUCUGGAGAGCCAUAUAUUAUUUCCAUAGAUGUUAAUUCCAUUUUUUAUGAACCCUUUCCCAAAGAGCCACAGAAUGUCAAAAGUGCUGAGAGAAGAAGUUGAGCCUUCUAUAAAUGUCAAAGCAAACAGAACCAGGCUCAGAGAAAGCAAGGUAAGUACUGGAAGGAACUCCUUGCAUUGCAAGGCAGGUGAAGAAAAGUGCAGAAAUGGCUAUUUACAUAGGAAGGAGUUUCUGCAAGAGUCAAUUGUAUUGAGACAUACUUCUGCUCUAAAACCCAAGUUUUCAAUGUCUGGCAUGAAACUGGCAGGAGAGAAGAGGGAUAUUGAAAUCUCAAGGGUUCUGCAGUUCUAAAAUUUGAUGUGGUUUCUGUUCACGUCAACAUAAAGAAAUGAUAAAUACUUGAGGUGAUGAAUAUGCUAAUUACCAUGAUUUGAUCAUUAUACACUGCAUACAUGUAUCAAAAUAUCACACUGUACCCCAUCAAUAAGUAAAAGUAUUAUGUGUCAAUUAAAAUAAUAAUAAUAAAGGAAAUGCCAAUGAAAACAAAAUGAUAAUCCCUAUUUACCACACAUUUUGGUGGGAAUAUAAGUUGUUAUAACCUUUUUGGAGGGCAACCAAAAUUUUAAGUGUAUAUAUUCUUUGAUAUGUCAAUUUCAGUUAUAGAAAUAAAUUCUUCUGAAAUAUUCCAACAGUACAAAGGUAUAUGAAUGAGAAUAUUCACUAAAACAUUACUUGUCAUGAAGGAAAAAAUGGAAACUUUUAAUGUCCAUCCAAAGGGAAAUUAUUGUAUAAAUCACGGGGCAUCAUGGUCUGAAAUUCUGUGCAGUAGAUAAAACAAUAAAUUCAUAUGCAGUAGCAUGGAGAUAUAUCCCUAUGAUAUACAUAGUUUCAAGUAAAAUAAAGCAAGUUGCUGAAGGAUUUUUUUUUUAAAAAGCUCACCUCUCAUCAGGAAAAUAAUGACUGGAUUUACAAAUGCCAAGAACUCAUUAUUGGGGCAUGUUAAACAAGUAAGCAGAUCUGUGAUCUCUUACAGACUUAAAAAAAAGACUUACUGCAACCAUGGGGGAGACAGAAGCAUUACUAGGACCUGCCCUGCUAUAGUCAUCUGCAACACACCCAUGGCGGAGUUGGAACAGUAUUUUUACUAGCACAUACCAGGUAUACUGUGGGUCAAACAGGCAUUGCAGAUGGCCAGAUGAUCUGAUUACCAGUGAAAAACAUUAUUUCUAGGGCAAACUGUGUCUUUAAAUUAUCAAAAUCUGCCUAAUAAUUCACCCUUCCUGUGUUAAGUUAGGGAGUCCCUGUAUAAAUCAGAUACAGAUGGAAAAAAAAUCCCUUUUUCUUUCUGCUUUUCAUGCCCAGAAUCAAGAAUAUAAUUAGCUUCACAGAUAUGUGGUCUUACUACUUUAUAUAGUAAAUUUACUUGUAGGCAAGAAGAGUGUCUUCUAAGUGUUCUGCAUCUCAUCACAACAGAGUAGGUUUUCCUAACCUCGCAAAUACAUGACCUGAAAAAACAGGAUUGAAAACGACUUUGAAAGGCUGGAACUCUGGAGCAAACCCAAUAUAAUGAAAUUCAACAGGAAUGAAGUCCCUGCUUACCUUAGGCUCAAGUUUCUAUCUGGACACUCCACUUAUUAGCACUAAUCCCCCCGAGCCCUGGUUUCUUAAUGUGUAGUAUGGGCAUCAUUACAGCCACAUUAUAGGAUUAUUGUAUAGAUUAAAUGAAAUUAUGCAUUUACAGUGAAUACAGUAUAGGUGGCACAAAGUGGGCCAGUGUAUAGUAAGUGCCUGCUUCUUUUCUCCUUUUUGCUGAUUCAAGCAAAUGUUAUUUUUAAAUUUUGUUUUAAGUGACACAUAAUAAUUGUACAUAUUCAUGAGCACAAUGUGAUGUUUCUAUCCAUGUAUACAUUGUGUAAUGAUCAAAUUAUAGUAUUGAGCAUCACCUCAGACAUUUAUCAUUUCUUUUUUUGUGUGUUGUGAUCAUUCAGAAUCCUUUAAAAAUGCAAUGAUUUUUUGGGGUGUCAUCUACAGGCAAAGAGCAUGCAUUCUGGCCUGCACCUCCAUGCUGUCCAUUUUACAACGCAAUUCCCCCAACGGGACUCUGUCAUUUUCCAGGACUGCCUGUACUGUGUGGGCAAGUCUGUCUAAUCUGGAGUCCAGGACUGGGAAGUUCAUUCUUGUGGCAUACCCAACCCAUAUCCUCUCAUUUGGGCCUUUAUCAGAAUUAAAGGUGAAUUUUUUAAAUUAAAAAAGCCAGAACAUAAUUUAAUUUAAUUUUUUAAAUUAAAAUUGCCAGAACAUAAGACGAGAGUAAUGGCUUAGUAGUAGCAUGAGUAAGAGUUUGAGUGAGUAGCCUAUUCAGUAUGAGUCAGUGAUUUGGUGCUGUUAAUAUGCAAUGAGAUGGAGGUGAGGAGGGAGUGAGGUCUCAGGAGGGAGAUGUAUGUGCCCAACUCCCCGUAUGUCUCAUCAUAAAGUCCCAGAGGACAAAAUACAAUAAUACCUGCCAGAAACAUGAUAAAAGAUGAGUUUAGCUACCCUAGCUGUGGAACUUAAGUUACGAUUAUAUUGGUUUUGUAUAAACGUAAAACAAAAAUCAAGAUAAAAACUAAAAACCAAGAAACAACCAUGAGUUUUAGCUUACGGAGAGAUCUAUCCAUUCAACAAUAGGUUGUAACCUCCCAUCUCCCCUAACUGCCCCCUACCCACUCCUUCUCCACACUCUACCUGGGUAUCCAUCAACGCCUCUGAUUAGUAAAGAAUCCAGAACAGUGGUUGUAUUAGUCCAUUCUCAGGCUGCUAAUACAGACAUACCCGAGACUGGAUAAUUUAUAAAGGAAAGAAAGGAAAGAGGUAUAAUUGACUCACAGUUCCACAUGGCUGGGGAGACCUCACAAUCAUGGCAGAAAGUGAAGGAGGAGCAAAGUCACAUCUUACAUGGUGGCAGGCAAAGAGAGAAUGAGAACCAAGCAAAAAGGGGUUUCCCCUUAUAAAACCAUCAGAUUUCAUGAGACUUAUUCAUUUCCAUGAGAACAGUAUCGGGGAAACCGCCCCCAUGAUCCAAUUAUCUCCCACUGGGUCCCUCCUACAACAUGUGGGAAUUAUGGGAGCUACAAUUCAAGAUGAGAUUUGGGUGGGGACACAGACAAACCACAUCAGUGGUUCUGAAUCUUGGCUACAAUCGACAUACCCAAGAAGCUUUUAUAAAUCUUGAUGCUUAGACCACAUUCCAGGUCUGUUAUAUCAGGGUCUCUGCUUGUGGGUCCCAGGCAUGCAUCCAGCGGAUCGCAGUGUGCAGCCAAGGUUGAGAACAACUGCUCCAGAAUGCUAGUCCACCUCACCUGGAGGAUGGUACCCAUUCCGGGCCACUAACUUGAGGAAGGCUGGAGUGUGACCAGGAUAGAGAGGAGUCUAAUGUUUGACAUAAAGACAGCUGGAAAAGGACAUGAAGAACAGGAGGCUCAGGGAGGUGUGGUUGUUACCUGCAGAUAGAUGAAGGACUGCCACGUGUAAGAGGAAGUUAUUUUGUUUUCCCUGCAUUGCUAUUAAAGGUGGGAACUAGAGAAAAUUGAAUUUCAGCUCAACCUAAAAAGAGAACUCUUUGAGCAGGGAGUAGGAGGCACAGUUAAAAGAAUGUGCAACCUACUGCUGAAUGCUGUGCACGUAAGCUAGAGUGAAACCCCGUUGGUCAGAGAUUCUGUAGAAGGAGGUCGGCACAAGACACAGGGAACUGGACUCCAUGACCUUUAAGGUCCUGUGUAACUGUGAUUCCAGGUGUCUUUGAUUCUAGGGGCUCAAUGGUUUGUCAUGGACUAAUUACCAACUUUGCAGAAGGAAUAAAAACAUUUUGUUGAACUCAGGAGAACAAAUCCAUCAUAAACCUUACCAAAUGGAUAAGCACAGAUAGGCUGGGACAUAGGAAUAAGCCUAAGAAGACUGAAAUGCCUAGAAGUUCUUUCCAUAUCACCAUACAGUUCAUGAGAACAACUUAAAAUACAGCAAUAAAACGCAAUCACAGUAAAUGGCCUUGCUGUGGCAGCUCUCUAGAAGGAUAUCUGCUGAUUUAAGAAGGCAGAACUCUGGAGGAGACCCCUGCUGUUUACAUGGUUGUCCAAGUUAAUUAUCCCUGUACUUUCAGAUGAAGUGAAUGGUAAUCUGUUUAUCUAGGUCAAAUAGUUGGAACUGACUCUGUCCCUUGACAGUCAUAUGAAAAUACGUAGUGUUGUCCUUUUGGGCAUUAUAAGAAAGAUCAGGUUAAAAAAAUAGCAUCCACUUCUUUACAGGCACAACAUAGCCUUUAUUUCUAAAGUACUCUAAUUAGACCCAACUCUAAACAAGUGGUUUAAAAUGGGAUUUUUUUUUUUUUUUUUUUUUUUUUUGAGACAGAGUCUCGCUCUGUUGCCCAGGCUGGCGUUCAGUGGUGCGAUCUCGGCUCACUGCAACCUCCACCUCCCGGGCUCAAGCGAUUCUCCUGCCUCAGCUUCCUGAGUAGCUGGGAUUACAGGCACACACCACCACACCAAGCUAAUUUUUGUAUUUUUAGUAGAAAUGGGGUUUCACCAUGUUGGUUAGGCUGGUCUCGAACUCCUGACCUCGUGAUCCACCCAUCUUGGCCUCCCAAAGUGCUGGGAUUACAGGCAUGAGCCACCGUGCCUGGCCAAAAAUGGAAAUUUUUUUAAAGACAGAAAGAAAAGAGAUUUUAGUGGCUAAUUAUUUCCGUUUUUUCAAUUCAUGGUAUAUUUUUUGUCUUGAGUUUAUGGAAUGUUUCCCCAUAGAGAUAAUGAAAAUCUGGCUUCUGGCCUCUGCAACCAUUCUAAGAACAGCAAAGUACAUACAUGGAAGAAAGGAUGGAAAUACCACAGAAAAUUAGUAAAAUGCUGAUACUGGUUACCAGAACAAAGAGGGGUGUCAGAAUGGAGGAAGAAACUUUAUAUGUCAGAAUGUAUCUAGGGGAGAUGUGAUUUAAUCUACAAAAUAAAAUCUUUGGGAGAGUAAAGUGCUACCUAAUGGCAUUUACCAGAUGUCCUUUAAGGUUGAUCUGAUUUCAGAUUAAGUCAGUCAGAGUGAGCUGGGGAUACAGUAGGGGUGGAUAAAUCCACUGUGGGAAAAGUUAGGAUUAUCAGGGUACCUUUUGUGGGUGGGGGAGAAGGCUAGGCUUCAGUUUGACCCUUGAGGGAUGGUGCCUUCAGGAAAUUACAGAAUUAUUGAGCUUCCUGAGCUACAAACUUCCCUUAGAUUAUGUCCCUUUGAACUACUUAUUCUUUACUACCUAAAUCCAAUGUAUUGAACAUUGUUGAGCACCAACUGUACAAGUCAUGUUGUAACCAUACAUGGGCAGGCAGGGGUGACUGGAAGACUAAAACGUGGUCACUGCCAUCUUGGAACCCUAGAAUGAUAAUGCUACAAGACCUUGCUACUCAAAGUACUGUCUGUGGACUAGUGGCAUCAGCAUUAUCUGGAAUAUUCUCAGAUGUACAACCUCAAGCCUGUCCCCAGACCUACUGAAUCAGAAUCUGCAUUUUAACAAGAUCCCCAGGUGAUUCCUAUGUCCAUUAACAUUGGAGAAGCACUGCCAUUGGAGACCUCAGAGUCUCUAACCUCUCACCCUUCAGAUACAAACCCAAGGCUCAGAGAAGUUAGGUGACUUGCUCAAGGUCACACCACACAUUCAUAGCAGCCAGGUUUAGAACAUUUCUUGAUGCUUCAUCUGGAAACAUAUAUUACAGGAAAAGAAUGGAUAUGGGAACCAGGCAGACCUGAAUUUGGAAGCUGAGAGCCUCAGUUUUCUCACUUACGGAAACUAAGUUGCUUAUACUUCCUCAAAUAUUCCUCAAGUAUAAGCAACCUAGUUUCCAUAGGUCUCAAAAAAUAAAAUUUGAUUUCAAUUUUUUUUUUCUGUUCCCACCAGCACCUUCUGGGCACACAUAGCUUCUGAAGAGGCCAGGUGUACAGCUGACUUGGGAUUGAGGGGUUCUCCACGUAGUGAGGAGUUUUGUUACAGAAAGAACGCAGACCGCUACCAUAUCUGCUGAAGUGCAGGUCUGCUGGUGUCACUAGAGAGGAAGGAGACCGCAAGAAGACAGCGGCCGGGGGGAUCUAGGAGAUGGAAAGGGUCCUGAAAAAUUCUAAUCUGGAUAAUCUCUGGAUACUGGACAAUGAAGCCCAGGUGUGCUCUAAAAAAAUGGAGCAAAAUUUGGUCCAACUCAUGCCAAUUGUGUUCAACAGUUUAUAGGAUAAGUAGAUCCUUUCAGGCUGUCAUAGUUCAAGCUCUUGGAAUGACCAGUAAUAUAUACUUAAACAUAUGACAAAACUUAAGGGAAAAGAGGGCCCAAGGCAUGCAGGGGAACUGAGCAUAAAGGCCAUUGUAUUUCAUGUAUGACUUGACUGUGUUUCAGUAAAGCAAUUUUAGCUCUAAA